AUUGAACGCUGGCGGCAGGCCUAACACAUGCAAGUCGAACGAGUGGCGGACGGGUGAGUAAUGUCUGGGCAACUGCCUGAUGUAGGGGGAUAACUACUGGAAACGGUAGCUAAUACCGCAUAACAUCAGAUGUGCCCAGAUGGGAUGAGCUAGCUGGUGGGGGAACGGGUCACCAAGGCGACGAUCCCUAGCUGGUCUGAGAGGAUGACGAGCCACACUGGAACUGAGACACGGUCCAGACUCCUACGGGAGGCAGCAGAGGGGAAUAUUGCAAAAUGGGCGAAAGCCUGAUGCAGCCAGGCCGCGUGUAUGAAGAAGGCCUUCGGGUUGUAAAGUACUUUCAGCGGGGAGGCGUUACCAGCAGAAGAAGCACCGGCUAACUCCGUGCCAGCAGCCGCGGAAUAC
rnacentral:rRNA from 1 species